AGGUAGAAAUGUUUGUGAAUACAUUAUGUGUUUGAACUGAACAGAAUGAGACAUGAAAGUUUGAUCUUUGUUUAAUCUGUUUAUAGAUUCUGUGGCGAUUAUUUACCUGACGAUAUCAUCAGUACAGGAAACGUUAUGACUCUGAAGUUCCUCUCUGAUGCUUCAGUUACAGCCGGGGGCUUCCAGUUACAAUAUACUGCCUUAGAUGCACCUCUGUUUUCACACAAUUACACCCACUUUUUCGACUGAUCAAUGCUUUGAUCCUGUUACUGUAUUUAUGAAGUUAUUGGUUACCUCAUUUACUGUAAUUAAUACGUCUUUAUAGCUUAUUCUGUCAAAUAAACAAGUUCAUUAAA